rnacentral:lncRNA from 1 species
AUCCUAAGAUCCAGAAAGUUAAAAUGGGAUGGGCUAGCAUGUAACUUGGUUUUUGCAGUGCUUGUCCAGUGUGCAUGAAGCCCUGGGAGCCUGGCUUUGUCUAUAAUAGCAAGUCUGAAGCCGGCUUAGGAUAAAUGAAUGAGACUUCAUUUUAGAAAAGUAAAACAAAGUAUUUAACGAAGUAUUUAUAAGGUCCUUAGUAAAGAGGGGUCAGUUAUAAACAAACCACCCCACUGUCUUCUGUCUGGGAAAUCCAGCGUCAAGGUACCCAUGUAGCUGGGCUUUAGGUGAGACUCCUGGUGAACCACAUGGCCUGGGAACCACUACCACAUUUGAUCAUCAAAUAUGGUGGGCUGGGUCAGCAUCUAUUCAUGCCUCUGAGAGCGGUGGCAGCUUCUCCACUGAAUAAGGGUAGCUUUGAUCGUGUACAGCCUGACUCUAGCGUCCUGAAAAAUCCAUGAAACACUACUGUGUGGUUCAAAUUCAACCCUCCCAGGGCAGAUCCGGGAGAAAUUCCAACCCUUUCCUUCUGUGUCUCAGGUUCUUGGUGCACGCCACCUCCCUAAACUAGGGCGGAGUAUCGCCUGUCCCUUUGUAGAGGUGGAAAUCUGUGGGGCCGAGUAUGACAGCAACAAAUUCAAGACGACGGUUGUGAAUGACAACGGUCUCAGCCCUGUCUGGGCUCCAACUCAGGAGAAGGUGACAUUUGAAAUUUAUGACCCAAACCUUGCGUUCCUACGCUUUGUGGUCUACGAAGAAGACAUGUUCAGUGACCC